rnacentral:rRNA from 1 species
UACGUAGGGUGCAAGCGUUGUCCGGAAUUAUUGGGCGUAAAGAGCUCGUAGGCGGUUUGUUGCGUCGGCUGUGAAAUCCCGAGGCUCAACCUCGGGUCUGCAGUCGAUACGAGCAAACUAGAGUGUUGCAGGGGAGACUGGAAUUCCUGGUGUAGCGGUGAAAUGACGCAGACGUAUCAGGAGGAACACCGGUGGCGAAGGCGGGUCUCUGGGCAACAACUGACGCUGGAGGAGCGAAAGCGUGGGGAGCGAACAGG